rnacentral:rRNA from 1 species
AAUGUGUAGAGAUGUGGAGGAAUACCGGAUGGCGAAGGGCAGCCCCCUGGGAUAACACUGACGCUCAUGCACGAAAGCGUGGGGAGCAAACAGGAUUAGAUACCCGGGUAAGUCCACGCCCUAAACGAUGUCUACUAGUUGUCGGGUCUUAAUUGACUUGGUAACGCAGCUAACGCGUGAAGUAGACCGCCUGGGGAGUACGGUCGCAAGAUUAAAACUCAAAGGAAUUGACGGGGACCCGCACAAGCGGUGGAUGAUGUGGAUUAAUUCGAUGCAACGCGAAAAACCUUACCUACCCUUGACAUGGCUGGAAUCCUUCAGAGAUGAGGGAGUGCUCGAAAGAGAACCAGUACACAGGUGCUGCAUGGCUGUCGUCAGCUCGUA